GAUGAACGCUGGCGGCGUGCCUAAUACAUGCAAGUCGAGCGAACAGACGAGGAGCUUGCUCCUCUGACGUUAGCGGCGGACGGGUGAGUAACACGUGGAUAACCUACCUAUAAGACUGGGAUAACUUCGGGAAACCGGAUCUAAUACCGGAUAAUAUAUUGAACCGCAUGGUUCAAUAGUGAAAGACGGUUUUGCUGUCACUUAUAGAUGGAUCCGCGCCGCAUUAGCUAGUUGGUAAGGUAACGGCUUACCAAGGCAACGAUGCGUAGCCGACCUGAGAGGGUGAUCGGCCACACUGGAACUGAGACACGGUCCAGACUCCUACGGGAGGCAGCAGUAGGGAAUCUUGCGCAAUGGGCGAAAGCCUGACGGAGCAACGCCGCGUGAGUGAUGAAGGUCUUCGGAUCGUAAAACUCUGUUAUUAGGGAAGAACAAAUGUGUAAGUAACUAUGCACGUCUUGACGGUACCUAAUCAGAAAGCCACGGCUAACUACGUG
rnacentral:rRNA from 1 species